UAGAUUAAGGCCAAAGUUGCGGCAUUUGAUUGUUAAUCAAAAGAUUGUGGAAUACCUCUAAUCUAG
rnacentral:tRNA from 1 species